UGGAAUCAUAUUUAAUUGGUUCAUCGAAACUAUGAGAAGGUUUAUGGAAUCAUAUUUAAUUGGUUCAUCGAAACCAAGCUUCAGACGAUGUAACCGGUAACCCCUCCAAGUGGCAUAUCCCUGGGGUGGGGGAGGCCGUGGGUUUGAACUCUCUUUUUUACGAUCAAUACAUUUGGGAACAUGAAUACAUUACGAGACAUAUAGUUGGAACCCCUUCUAUCCUGGGUUGGGAACUACCUUUUAAAAAUGGCUGGAUCCGCCCCUGCCUCUCCACUUUUUAUCCCCUGAGUUUAAGCUAAAAGGUAUCAUUUGUAAAUUGGUAAGUUGCCAGUCUAAGAGUAGUUUUAAAGAUAAAUAGACAU
rnacentral:lncRNA from 1 species